UCAAACACUGCAAAAAGGGAACUAAAAUUCCCUUUUUGCAGUGAAUAAGCUAAAACCAAGACGUUUUUACCCUCAAAACUAAGCCGUGGAAGACCAGGCCGAUGAAGAAGACGAUGAAGAGAUGGUGCGUGUACCAGAAGACCUCGAAGUACGACCUGCGGAUGACCUCCAUGGACGAAGUGAUGAUGAGGAUGAGGGCCAGCGUGAUGGCCACGCCCGUCAGCCCGGCGAUGGUGGUGAACAUGACGAUGUUCCCUUUUUGCAGUGCAGCGCUUGGUGGAGUUUGAUAGAGCUCACGUUGCUGGUGUAUAUGGCUGCAAGACCAUAUUCACGCAAUUUAAGACUGAGCAGCCGACCGUUAGGAUUUCACAAGAAUUGGCAACACUGGAAAUCUGCCAGGUUGCCCCCCGUUUCUCAACAACAAACAAAAAGCAGUUUUUUUUUUUUUUGUUCCUCGGGGACUCACCGUCUCG